rnacentral:misc_RNA from 1 species
AACCCUUGACAUCCCGGUUGCGAGGACCAGAGAUGGACCUUUUCAGUUCGGCUGGACCGGAGACAGGUGCUGCAUGGCUGUCGUCAGCUCGUGUCGUGAGAUGUUGGGUUAAGUCCCGCAACGAGCGCAACCCUCGCCUUUAGUUGCCAUCAUUUAGUUGGGCACUCUAAAGGGACUGCCGGUGAUAAGCCGGAGGAAGGUGGGGAUGACGUCGAACGGUUGGUU